NNGUGUCACAAAUCGGAGNCCCGACUGUNUACUAAAACACAUUCCAGAGCAAUGANGUANAUCAUAGUAUUCUGGAUGAAAUUUGCCCAAUGCCAGUAAUCAUAAAAUAGGUAAUGGGACACUGUUACUCAUUGNAAGUCUGGUUAAUAGCGGUCUUAACUAUGAGGAUCCUAAGGUAGCAAAUCAUCUGNCCAGUAAAUGUGGUCUGGAAUCAAUAGUGUANCGAUGGUCUCACUGNNCUCUACAACUUGCUCAGUGAAAUUGAAUUAGCCGUGACAGAUNCGGGUGCUCCAGGUGGACGGGAAGACCUAUGUAGUU
rnacentral:rRNA from 1 species